GGUUAAGCGACUAAGCGUACACGGUGGAUGCCCUGGCAGUCAGAGGCGAUGAAGGACGUGCUAAUCUGCGAUAAGCGUCGGUAAGGUGAUAUGAACCGUUAUAACCGGCGAUUUCCGAAUGGGGAAACCCAGUGUGUUUCGACACACUAUCAUUAACUGAAUCCAUAGGUUAAUGAGGCGAACCGGGGGAACUGAAACAUCUAAGUACCCCGAGGAAAAGAAAUCAACCGAGAUUCCCCCAGUAGCGGCGAGCGAACGGGGAGCAGCCCAGAGCCUGAAUCAGUGUGUGUGUUAGUGGAAGCGUCUGGAAAGGCGCGCGAUACAGGGUGACAGCCCCGUACACAAAAAUGCACAUGCUGUGAGCUCGAUGAGUAGGGCGGGACACGUGGUAUCCUGUCUGAAUAUGGGGGGACCAUCCUCCAAGGCUAAAUACUCCUGACUGACCGAUAGUGAACCAGUACCGUGAGGGAAAGGCGAAAAGAACCCCGGCGAGGGGAGUGAAAAAGAACCUGAAACCGUGUACGUACAAGCAGUGGGAGCACAGAGCAAUCUGUGUGACUGCGUACCUUUUGUAUAAUGGGUCAGCGACUUAUAUUCUGUAGCAAGGUUAACCGAAUAGGGGAGCCGAAGGGAAACCGAGUCUUAACUGGGCGUUAAGUUGCAGGGUAUAGACCCGAAACCCGGUGAUCUAGCCAUGGGCAGGUUGAAGGUUGGGUAACACUAACUGGAGGACCGAACCGACUAAUGUUGAAAAAUUAGCGGAUGACUUGUGGCUGGGGGUGAAAGGCCAAUCAAACCGGGAGAUAGCUGGUUCUCCCCGAAAGCUAUUUAGGUAGCGCCUCGUGAAUUCAUCUCCGGGGGUAGAGCACUGUUUCGGCAAGGGGGUCAUCCCGACUUACCAACCCGAUGCAAACUGCGAAUACCGGAGAAUGUUAUCACGGGAGACACACGGCGGGUGCUAACGUCCGUCGUGAAGAGGGAAACAACCCAGACCGCCAGCUAAGGUCCCAAAGUCAUGGUUAAGUGGGAAACGAUGUGGGAAGGCCCAGACAGCCAGGAUGUUGGCUUAGAAGCAGCCAUCAUUUAAAGAAAGCGUAAUAGCUCACUGGUCGAGUCGGCCUGCGCGGAAGAUGUAACGGGGCUAAACCAUGCACCGAAGCUGCGGCAGCGACACUAUGUGUUGUUGGGUAGGGGAGCGUUCUGUAAGCCUGUGAAGGUGUACUGUGAGGUAUGCUGGAGGUAUCAGAAGUGCGAAUGCUGACAUAAGUAACGAUAAAGCGGGUGAAAAGCCCGCUCGCCGGAAGACCAAGGGUUCCUGUCCAACGUUAAUCGGGGCAGGGUGAGUCGACCCCUAAGGCGAGGCCGAAAGGCGUAGUCGAUGGGAAACAGGUUAAUAUUCCUGUACUUGGUGUUACUGCGAAGGGGGGACGGAGAAGGCUAUGUUGGCCGGGCGACGGUUGUCCCGGUUUAAGCGUGUAGGCUGGUUUUCCAGGCAAAUCCGGAAAAUCAAGGCUGAGGCGUGAUGACGAGGCACUACGGUGCUGAAGCAACAAAUGCCCUGCUUCCAGGAAAAGCCUCUAAGCAUCAGGUAACAUCAAAUCGUACCCCAAACCGACACAGGUGGUCAGGUAGAGAAUACCAAGGCGCUUGAGAGAACUCGGGUGAAGGAACUAGGCAAAAUGGUGCCGUAACUUCGGGAGAAGGCACGCUGAUAUGUAGGUGAAGUCCCUCGCGGAUGGAGCUGAAAUCAGUCGAAGAUACCAGCUGGCUGCAACUGUUUAUUAAAAACACAGCACUGUGCAAACACGAAAGUGGACGUAUACGGUGUGACGCCUGCCCGGUGCCGGAAGGUUAAUUGAUGGGGUUAGCGCAAGCGAAGCUCUUGAUCGAAGCCCCGGUAAACGGCGGCCGUAACUAUAACGGUCCUAAGGUAGCGAAAUUCCUUGUCGGGUAAGUUCCGACCUGCACGAAUGGCGUAAUGAUGGCCAGGCUGUCUCCACCCGAGACUCAGUGAAAUUGAACUCGCUGUGAAGAUGCAGUGUACCCGCGGCAAGACGGAAAGACCCCGUGAACCUUUACUAUAGCUUGACACUGAACAUUGAGCCUUGAUGUGUAGGAUAGGUGGGAGGCUUUGAAGUGUGGACGCCAGUCUGCAUGGAGCCGACCUUGAAAUACCACCCUUUAAUGUUUGAUGUUCUAACGUUGACCCGUAAUCCGGGUUGCGGACAGUGUCUGGUGGGUAGUUUGACUGGGGCGGUCUCCUCCUAAAGAGUAACGGAGGAGCACGAAGGUUGGCUAAUCCUGGUCGGACAUCAGGAGGUUAGUGCAAUGGCAUAAGCCAGCUUGACUGCGAGCGUGACGGCGCGAGCAGGUGCGAAAGCAGGUCAUAGUGAUCCGGUGGUUCUGAAUGGAAGGGCCAUCGCUCAACGGAUAAAAGGUACUCCGGGGAUAACAGGCUGAUACCGCCCAAGAGUUCAUAUCGACGGCGGUGUUUGGCACCUCGAUGUCGGCUCAUCACAUCCUGGGGCUGAAGUAGGUCCCAAGGGUAUGGCUGUUCGCCAUUUAAAGUGGUACGCGAGCUGGGUUUAGAACGUCGUGAGACAGUUCGGUCCCUAUCUGCCGUGGGCGCUGGAGAACUGAGGGGGGCUGCUCCUAGUACGAGAGGACCGGAGUGGACGCAUCACUGGUGUUCGGGUUGUCAUGCCAAUGGCACUGCCCGGUAGCUAAAUGCGGAAGAGAUAAGUGCUGAAAGCAUCUAAGCACGAAACUUGCCCCGAGAUGAGUUCUCCCUGACCCUUUAAGGGUCCUGAAGGAACGUUGAAGACGACGACGUUGAUAGGCCGGGUGUGUAAGCGCAGCGAUGCGUUGAGCUAACCGGUACUAAUGAACCGUGAGGCUUAACCUU
rnacentral:rRNA from 1 species